UAAUACCGGCACCUCAAGUGGUAGCCACUAUUAUUGGGCCUAAAGCGUUCGUAGCCGGUUUGGUAAAUUCUUGGGUAAAUCGUACCGCUUAACGGUGCGGAUUCCGGGGACACUACCAGACUUGAGACCGGGGGAGAUCAGAGGUACUUGCGGGGGAGCGGUGAAAUGUUGUAAUCCCACAGGGACCACCAGUGGCGAAGGCGUCUGAUCAGAACGGCUCUGACGGUGAGGAACGAAACCCUGGGGCGCAAACGGGAUUAGAUACCCCGGUAGUCCAGGGCGUAAACGCUGCUGACUUGGUGUUGGGGAUCCUACGAGGAUGUCCAGUGCUGGCGCGAAGGUAUUAAGUCAGCCGCCUGGGGAGUACGGUCGCAAGACUG
rnacentral:rRNA from 1 species